rfam:Firmicutes bacterium CAG:631 genomic scaffold, scf50
AGGGACAUAGUUAAAUGGCUUAACAAUGGUCUCCAAAACCAUCAAUGUGGGUUCGAUUCCUACUGUCCCUG